rnacentral:tRNA from 1 species
GGGGUGUUAGCUCAGCGGUAGAGCAAUUGACUGCAGAUCAAUAGGUCUUCGGUUCAAAUACGGAACGCCCCU